CAGCCGCCGCGGUAAUACGAAGGGUGCAAGCGUUAAUCGGAAUUCCUGGGCGUAAAGCGUGCGUAGGCGGUGAGUUAAGUCUGCUGUGAAAUCCCCGGGCUCAACCUGGGAAUGGCAGUGGAUACUGGCUCGCUAGAGUGUGUCAGAGGAUGGUGGAAUUCCCGGUGUAGCGGUGAAAUGCGUAGAGAUCGGGAGGAACAUCAGUGGCGAAGGCGGCCAUCUGGGACAACACUGACGCUGAGGCACGAAAGCGUGGGGAGCAAACAGGAUUAGAUACCCCAGUAGUCCCUGUCUCUUAUAC
rnacentral:rRNA from 1 species